UUUUUUAUUUUUAAGGAAUAAUUUCAUACAGUCUUUCUGUAAAGAUAUCGAAAAGUAGAUAUUAUUGUUACCAUGAGCUCACUAUUUAUUUUUUAACAGAAGAUACGUGAAAUGCCAAUUUUCUCAUCACAAAUAUCUUGUCAAAAGCCCUAACUGUUAGAAUCAUACAGAAAUAUCCUUCCAAAAAAUUUUUAAUGGUCUUCUUCUUUCUAUAAAAAAACUUAACUUAAUUCACCAUUGUCGCAACCUCUUCUCUACCUCAUCUUUCACUUUUUUUCUCCUUUACCUAUCUACUACUGAUUCCCCGACGCUUGACAUGAGCAAAGAAACAUCUGUCAUAAAUGAGUCGAAACGGAGAAUCCCCAGUUAUGGGUUCGAAACUAGUAUAAGGAAGGGGAAGAGAAAAAAUAGUUUUCAUUGUUAAGGUUAUUGAUAGAACUAGAGGAAAUAGAGUUUUGAUUGAGAGGAGAAUGUAUAAUAUCCGAAGGGUAAAAUGGUCAAUUUACUUCACUCAAUAACCAAGGUUAAAUAUAUUUAUGGUUAACUAUAUUUUCCUUACGGACGCUAACAGUAGCGGUAUAUUUGAAAUCGUUAAGACUUUUUAAAGGAUAAAUUUGAAAACUUGAACUUUGUAGAAAUAUAUCUGUUAUUCGCUAUUUUUUACAUAGAGCUGUACGAAAUUAUUCCUAUU
rnacentral:lncRNA from 1 species